GGCAUGGACUGUAAGGCCUAUAACCAUAUUAUUUUAAUAUGGGAAAAUCCUCAAUCGCUCCCAAGCGGUAUUUAUCGAACAAUAUAAACGUUAAGACUAAUUUUAAGUAUACAUUUUGUAUAUUUGGUGUUUUUUAUUUACAGAAUUAAUUUUUUACUGUAAAAAAAUGGUGAUGUUUUGAUGAUUGAUCAAUCUAUCAAUCUUAAUGACAAUGUGUCUAGGAAUACAUUUUGUAAGACCAUAGUAUACAAUUUAUUCCGUGCUCUGCUCACCGUAGGUGCUUUUUUGUUUAUAUUGAACAAGUUUUUCUUGCGAUCGAAGUAUUUAAUUUUUAUUAGCAAAGAUGUUAGAUGUGUAUUGUAAAGCAUAUAAGUAAUUAGGUAUUUAUUUUUGAAAAUACAAUAAAAAAAUAUAAACGCACAAUCUAUUAUUAGACUUUUUAAUACAAUUUGGUUUGACGAUGAAAAUGGCAUGUAAUGUAUUUUUAUUAGAAGAAAAAAAAAAACAAAUAAUGUCUAUGCUAAUAAAAUAAAUUUUAUUUUGUUUCAAGAAAAUCCUUUUUAUAAUUAUUUUCAUGUUAUUAUUUUGAUAAUGUAUGUACAAAUGAUCACUACCUUUUCGUAUCUCAAUAUAUUAUUUCUAAAUAUACUUAGUAGAUAGGUUUAUAAUGUUUAUAUUAAAACGCUUCAGCUUGGACUAAUUUACGCUAAAUUACGGUUUUGUAAUGAUAUGUUGACGAAACGUAAUUUUUUUAUACGGAUGAAUAAUAAGUUUUCUGAAUUAAUUCUCCGAGAAAGGAUGGCAACAUUUUUAAAUUAAAACCUUCAAGGUUGUAAUUGCUAGGGAUAUAGCUGUCAGGGAAAUAAUUCAGAAAAUUGUUAUUUAUUAAAAAAAAAAACUUUAUACAUGCCCCUAGUAAUAGAUCUGUCGUCUAAACCUUAUACCGUAUUAUUUUUAGUUAUUAAUUGUAAUUAUAUAAUUAUUAUUAUUUUUGGUAUAAAUCAUACCAAAUUGAAAUCGUGUCCAAAGAAAGGUGUAUAAGGUAAAAAAAUAAUAUCAUGGAAUAAAUGUGAAAAGUCUACGUAUUUAUUUUGAUAAUUAAACAUAGAGGCCAUAUUUAACUGCAUUUUUAACGGUUUUUAGUUUAUACGGUUAUCAAUGCAACUUAUAUUUCGGGUUUUGUGAAAACUCUGAAAAUUGGAGGCCAAAAUUAUAUGAAAAUUAUCCCAAGCUAGCACAAAUUUUUAAGACAAUUGAGGUGCGGAUGUUAUAUGAAUGUGUUUAUCGUACUUUGUACAUACUCUUUUAUAAUAAAGCCAUGAACACACUAAAGCCGAAAAGUGUACUCGCAGAAAAUUGUAUGGUCUAAGUGUGUGAAACGGCCUUAACAACCAAGCCGCAUAUUUAUUUAUAUACAAUGUGUUGUGUUCACAUUCACAAGAAAUUAUGAGUUAUUUUCGGUUGAAGGAAGAAUCCAAUAAUUUUUAUAAUUAGCAAUCAGCCCAUACACGUCCACCGCUGGAAAUGGGCAAACAAUAUUAAAUAAAAAACAAGAUAAGUAUGAAAUACUCAGGAAACAUGAACUUAGUUUGAUAAUUUUCGAUACUUUAAAAUGUGAACACAACACAAGAAACCGUCAUAGCACCUCAAUCUAACAAUUUUCGAUAUAUUUACUAAAAUAUUUUGUUUCAUAUAAUUCAGUAAGAGUAAGUGGGAUGCCGUAGCCGCGUGUACGACUGUCGACUAUUUGUAAUGUAGGCUAAGCUGUAUAUUUAGAUUUUGUAUGAGCUAAACAAAAUAUACAAUGUUGAUGUUGAAUGUGGUUAUAUUUUUGAACGCUGUUUGCAUGUUCAUAUUGAUUUUUUUUUAAGACUAAUCAUCUUAUCUUACAUCAUCAUCAGUCUUCCACUGCUGGGCACAGACCUUCUCUCACACAGAGAAGGAUUGAGCGUUAAUCACCACGCUUGCUCAAUGCGGGACGAAACGGUGAAUCUGGAUUUAGCCAGUUACAAGCGCAGUGAAAAAAACUGAAAGUUCUGAUACGGCUUUCGCUGUCCAAAUACCUACCAGGGUUUUUUGAUUAAUAUUUUUAUUUUAAUUGCUUUAAUUGAAAUAGUUUCCAGGACAUGUUUAUUGUUACAUUUCUUUCAAAAUCAAAUGAACAUGUAAGCAGUUUGUGUCGUCCACUGAUAUCAAUAGUGCGAGAUGAAGGAUGAUGCCGAAAACUCGGAUGACUGAGGUAUGCAGAGAUGGUUCUUUUUGUACUAACAUUAUUAUCUUCCAUAAUAUAAUAAAAUUGUCAUCACUAUAAAAUCUCGUCAAAUGGCACGUGACGCCCGGAGGACGUAUCAAAAAUAUCUCAGAGUCGUAAUUUUUUGUAGCUAUACACGUCAUGCACACACAUGCAAAAGUAAUAUGGUCCCUUUCAUUAGUUUCAAAAUAUGUAUUUGUUGCGACGAUAGCUCAGCAGGUGGAGUAAAUAAUAAGCGUGGACUGUAUAAUAUGUGAAUACGUAUAAUGACUUUUAAGAAUAACAAUAUAGGUACAAUUAAGCAAAUACGAAUGAAAGUUUAAGUAAGAACGCGUGCGCGCGGCCGGUGCGCAUAAGCAAGUCUUGACCUCUGGACCCGGCGAUUCGCGGCGAGCCGUUGCACCACGACGUCACAGUCGCCCCCACUUGUCGUGGACGCGGUUGAGGCGAGUGGGACGACUCAACAGUAUUUUAUAAUUUUAAAUUGUGUAGCUACUACGCCUACUUGUAGAUACUCAUUUUAGUCUAAAAACGUACAUCAUCUUUACACACGCUUGUCUAUUUCAAAACUAAUGUUUUAUCAUAAAACAGUGUAAUAUAACAUUUCAGUUGUCACUUUUCAUUAGAUUUAGAAUCUCAAAAUUACAUAAUCACGCUUUUUUCAUUGUCACAAUGUUCCUUAUUCACUCAUAUUUAUUUACAUACCUAUAGAACCAUCUCUGCAUCUAUAGUAAUGUAAAAAGGGGGCUUGCAUGGUAAUCCUAUAUUUUUAAUAUAAUUUAAAAUCUUGCUUUCACUACGUAACAAAAAAUUUUUAACAUAAUUUUAUCGUAACAAAGCUAUGAACCAAACCAAAUGACUGAUUGGAUAUUUAUUUUCUUAUGUAUCUGUAUUUAAUAGUAUUAUUCUAUAAGGACCAGUAUUUUUGAUUUUAUGAACGUAUAUAUUAUUAUUUUGAUAUUAGACUCCCAUUAAAUUAUGAUAUAAAGGUCAUUGAAACAAACUCACCGUAGAAUGAUCUCUGAAUUAUUGUGUUCAACCUAAUUAUUUUAAGUCUAUUUUGAAGUACCUGCAAGCCCCAGAGCGACUGAAUCGGUAUGUUUUUCUAGCUUUUUUAUAUAAAAAAACACCGUAGGAAUGUUACUACAUUUUUUUAUAAACGAACCUAGAUAGUAAGGUAGGCUAGACUUAAUCGGGACACGAUGAUUGAGGCAAGUGCGAUUUGUAUAUCUGUAUAUUUUUUGCUACUGUAGAAACUUAAACGCAGUCUAUAAUAACUUAAACACACCUAAUAUACUUAUAGCAUUGAUACUAACCUGUCCUAACUAAAAUAUGAUUGGGAAAGUUCUAGACAACAGUUUCAAGUUUGAAUGCUCAAAAACAUUGAAGACUGACCAUCCCAUAUCUUAUUAUAUCUAUUCUUGAAACGAAGUUAUUGGAACAGUGUAGAAUCAAAGGCUUGUUUACACCAUUGUUUCAUAUUUUAACACAUUAACAAUCAUCAUCCUCCUGCCCUUAAAUCAAUUUUAUCUCAAUUUUAUUGGUCCCCAAGAGGUUCCCAUCUCGGAAGGACCCGAUUUAUCCUACAAUUUAUACAAUUUUUUUAUUAUUUAUUUUAUUGUAAAUGAUAAAAUAAAUAAUAACUGUAUUGUUCUGUACAAUUUAGAGACAAGUUACAACGAUAAUAAGUCAAAAUAUUUUGUUUUAGAAAUGUAUUAAGUUAGCAAUGGUGCAAACAAUCCUAAAUAGAAAGCAAAAGUAGUAUAAAAUUAAUGUGUGCUUCAUACCAAUAUUUUAAAAGUAAAAUACUUAUAUUUCCCCGACAGAUAUUAGUUGUAAAAUUACACUUGCAUCAAUCAUCAUGUGUUUUACAUAACUACAAGCUCAGACCGCUUAUAUAAAGUUAAUGUGCGCUUUUUAUAUUAAACGAGGCUUCUAUGCUAUGACAGGAGGCAAUGGGCUAUAAAUAAUUCACUUUUGUCUAUAAACAAAUGUUAUAUGGCAUCCAAUCAGUGAUUUAUGAUUACAGAAAACGAAAUAUGAACAUAACUUCUAAAGUUAUAAUUUGUUCGUAAAGUGGCAAUCUAAAAAUAUAGAGUAAAAAUAGUGGUUUCGGUGUUUUUAGUAUGAGAAGGAAUCCAAUAAGAAUUUGAUGAAUUAAUUCACAGCUACAUCUGCCUCCUGUUAUAAGAAACACUAUGAAACUAUAUUCUAUUGAUUGUAAUAUGUAUAAUGUUCAAAAUCUUCAUAGUUAUUUAGCUAUCUAAAUAAAACAUAAAUUUUAUUUUCCUAUCUAAAUCAUGAUGCACUAUACAUAUUACAAAAGAUAUGCAAAAAUAAUCAAAAUUAUUUUUCAAACGAGUGUUGGAAUUCACAAGAUUGUAUGCGAGGCGAAAUUUUGUAAAUACCUAGCUUAUAAGUUUACCGUCAAGCCCAAUAUAACUGGUUCAUUGAUAUUUAGACUUUUUUAUUUAAUUGUAGUGAAUCGGCGGUUGUAAAACUAAUUUAAUAUUCAUUUUGUUUUUAUUUUUGUAAAUAGAUAAGCAAGUCAUGUAAUACAAUAUUUUUGAAAAUAUACCAAUAUUUAGAA